UACAGAGGUCCCAAGCGUUGUUCGGAUUCAUUGGGCGUAAAGGGUGCGUAGGUGGCACCAUAAGUCAGGUGUGAAAUUUCGGAGCUUAACUCCGAAACUGCAUUUGAUACUGUGGUGCUUGAGGACUGGAGAGGAGACUGGAAUUUACGGUGUAGCAGUGAAAUGCGUAGAGAUCGUAAGGAAGACCAGUGGCGAAGGCGGGUCUCUGGACAGUUCCUGACACUGAGGCACGAAGGCCAGGGGAGCAAACGGG
rnacentral:rRNA from 1 species